AUUGGGGUGGCUGAAAGAAGCAAUAAACUGUAAAUUUAUUUAUGAAAAUAUUUCUCUCAAUA
rnacentral:tRNA from 1 species